CCUACGGGGGGCAGCAGUGGGGGAUAUUGCACAAUGGGGGGAACCCUGAUGCAGCGACGCCGCGUGGGUGAAGGAGCGUUUCGGCGCGUAAAGCCCUAUCGGCAGGGAAGAAGGAGGACGGUACCUGACUAAGAAGCCCCGGCUAACUACGUGCCAGCAGCCGCGGUAAUACGUAGGGGGCAAGCGUUAUCCGGAUUUACUGGGGGUAAAGGGGGCGCAGACGGCAGCGCAAGCCAGGAGUGAAAGCCCGGGGCCCAACCCCGGGACUGCUCUUGGAACUGCAUUUGAAACUGUUUUUCUUGAGUACCGGGGAGGUCAUCGGAAUUCCUUGUGUAGCGGUGAAAUGCGUAGAUAUAAGGAAGAACACCAGUGGCGAAGGCGGCUUGCUGGACAGUAACUGACGUUGAGGCUCGAAAGCGUGGGGAGCAAACAGGAUUAGAUACCCCUGUAGUC
rnacentral:rRNA from 1 species